GUCAACUAGUCUGAGACUGGUAUAAAGGGUGCCCUGGCCCCUGCUCAGCUCAACAUCCCACUAGAAGCCUGUCCAGCCAUCCUUCCUGUGGGCCUGUUGCACAUCCAGCUCAGAAUGUCUCAGCAGAAGCAGUGCUGUCCCCCACCCCAGCAGUGCUACCCCGCACCCAUGCAGUGCUGCCCCCCACCCCAGCAGUGCUACCCCGCACCCAUGCAGUGCUACCCUCCACCCCUGCAGUGCUACCUUGCACCCCAGCAGUGCUACCCUGCACCCAUGCAGUGCUACACCCCACCCCAGAAAAACUGAGGUUGGACAUGUGACCAGAAGCCAAGCUCCCAGGAAAAGCAGAGAAGAAAUCAACCACCUCCCUCCAACAGCCAGAUGUCAGCUGCACUCACCUGCAGCCAAGCUCUGAAAAAGGCAGCACCAGGAUGACAGCUUCCUCAAUUUCUACCACUUCUGGCAGCUGCAAUUUCCAUCCCAGACAAGGAUCUGGUCCUAACCUGUCGAAUCGUCUUUGCUGACAUGUACCUACAUCACCCUGUUGGCUUUUGGAAACCUGGCUCUCCUGCCCGGACACCCUACCCUCUCACUGUUCCCUCUGCUCCUGUUUUCAAACAAUUAAAUGUAAUUCCUCU